rnacentral:lncRNA from 1 species
AUGAAUAUUCUAUGUGUUGUUUAUAUAUACAUUAUAUCUAUAGGACUGGGAAUUUAUGCUAUUUACAUGAACAGUUCUCCUGGUCCAGAGUUCACAGGUGAUUUAUUCUUGAGAAGGAGCAAGAUGGAUGAAGUAUACCACAUCUCUUCUACUGAGAAGGUCCAGCAGCUGGAAAGAGAACUAGCAGCACAGCUGGCAGAGCUGAAAGCACAAAUAGAAGACAAUGGGGUACUUCAGGGAACACCAAACAGGGCAUACAGUUCUGUUCCAAUUCCAAAAGAUGCAACUUAUUUCAGAAAAGAAAGAGAGAGAAUACUGAAGAGAAUCUUACAGGUGGCAGAAGCGAAGCCCCUUGUUAUUCAGGCUGAUGUCAUGCAGAGGGAGUUAGAGAGCUGCUGGAGAAGGGAGUACACAGCAACAACCUUGCCGCUGCUGCUGCACCAGUUUUUUACAGACAGAAUCACUCAGCUAGUCCAGAGUAAAUAUUUGCACAUGCUCAGAUGGAAAAGAUUUUGCACGCACAGCAGUGUUAUUGAGCAGCUUUAUCCUCUCUAUCAGAAGCAAGUUAGUCACAUCAUGGAUGAAUACAAUGAUGCAGUUCAGAGGGCUGCAAGGCUUUCAGUGGCAAAGGAGAACUUCCUGACAGGAAAGAAAAAUCCAAUGAAUGUAGUGACAAAGGAAGACCUGAUGAUUUACACCCAAUGGUUAGUGUGCCACCUACACUCUGUGAAGGGCAUUCACCGUUUUCUCCAGGUAAGAUGAGCAUUUUGAGCAGUAAAAUGUAAUUAUACAACAUUCAAACCUUAGUAAACUGAGGAAGAUAAAACUCAGUGCAAAAUCUGAGGGUUUGAUGGUACUAAGCCAGACU